CAGGCUCCAGGCUCUGAGCCAUCAGCUCAGAGCCCGACGCGGGGCUCGAACUCACGGACCGCGAGAUCGUGACCUGGCUGAAGUCGGACGCUUAACCGACUGCGCCACCCAGGCGCCCCUCUACUGUGCAUUUAAUGAAAAACUAACUUAUAACACUGUUUGCAAUUGUUUUAGCGUACCUGAGGGGUCCUCUUGCUUCCUGCCUGUAUGUUGGGUGGCUUACUCCCAUGUCUGAGAGAGAACUAUCAUAAGAAACUAAAAUGGUGGUCAGUUCAAUGGUUAAUCAGAACAUAGGCUUUUUUUUUUUUCUGAUUAUUGAAAGUCCAAUUCUCUGCAUAAGCGGUUAACUCAUCUUUAGAACUAGAAGCAUAAUUAAACCAGAAGGAGUCUGUUAUGAUUGGAGGUGAGAGGCUAGGGCUAGUUAAGCCAUAACAAAGAAAAUGAAUUCAUAGUAUGCUUUGCACAAAAUGCAGGUUUCCUGUUCUGAUCAGAUUAUGUAAAAUGUAUUUCCUGUUUCUUUUGAAGAAAAUAAAGCUAUUUAUAUAACUAUUCAAAAGUUACGUUGUUAUGCAGUGUGUCUUCACAAACAUACUCGGUUCUUUGUGGAUUUCUGACACCAAGGGUUCCAUUGAGUCUGUUCCCAGAAUCCUCCCCCUCCCCUCUGUGGUGUAAUGUCUUUAUGGUGACCUUAAUAAUCUUCGGCAUCCUCAUUUAGCUCACUUCUGAAUGAACAUUUCUCCAGACGACUUCUGCAUAGUUUAAUAAUGUAUGCACUAUCUACCUUAGACAGUAAAUUUCCAAAAUCUAUACUAUUUAUUGUGUUCUAAUUCGUUAUGGCUAUAAUAAUUUCUAUUGAGUUCCCACUAUCUAAUUAGAUUUUAUAGCUUUUAUAGUACAGUACAGAGGAUAUAUUCUUUCUCUUGGUAUAAGUUAAUCUUAGCUAACUUUAAAUAAAAUGAAUGUAAUUAUCAAAUUUGUGAAAACAUUUAGAGGAGAAUGCAUGUUUAAAAUGUGCUCUUGUCUAGUUCAUUGUGAAAUGCUCUUUUUUCAUUCCACUCUAUUUUCAUUUAGCUAUUUUCCUCUGGAUAGUUAUGUUGCGGUUACUUCAAUGUUUAUAUGUUAUUAUCUGCUUGUGCAUUAAUCAAGGUAAUGGUGCAAGUAAAGAUAAUCUUGGCAAAAACAAAACAAAAUUAAUGUCACGUGAAUUUUGGCCAGAUGCACAAAGUGUCACAUUCCCUGUUAAGUGCACUUGUCCAAGGAGCUAUUGGUGACACUGUCCUGAACUGUCAGGGUAGAGUAACAUUGUAUCUACUGGCAACAAUGUUCCUUUCUAUAGCAUUGAAAACGACAUACCUCAGCACUGGGUCCAUUUAACUCUAUAUGUUAUUUUCAAGGUCAACAGGAGUGUCAUACUCUAAUCAAGUGUUCCCUUCACACUGCAGCAGACAGUAAGAUCAUCCUUCAGCACUUUCUAGAACCUCCAUGCAGCCAGCCCAUGCCCUGGAUACCAGCCUAGCGGACUUCAUUAUCAUUCCAGUCAUUCCUUUGCAAAACACUACUGAAAAAGCAGUUACACAUGGGAACCUUGUAAGGUUCUAUCAAAAAUGUGUUUGUAAGCCCCAGAUCUAGCAGCAUAUUAGUUAAUGAUUAGGAGGCGGAGAGUGUGCGUGCGUGUGUGUGUGUGUGUGUGUGCGUGUACAGUCUAAUACAUAAGAUCAUUUGUAAAAUGCAAUCCUAUAAUAAAUGGGUCGCUGCCAAUGCCUCAAGACUUAAGAGAACAACAUUUUUUUUUUGGCGGGAGUUUUGUUUUAAUUUAAAGAUAGUGUAUUUUACGCCAUUAAGAAAAAAUAAAUACGGUGGAGGGUCCAGGGCAGGCAGCAUGAGGACUAGGUUUAAACUGCCAUCUGGCUGGGCGACCCUCAGCCAUCCAUCCUACCUCUCUGAGGGGAGAGCCAACUAAGGUGACGAAACCAGAUAUCCCACAAGGUUUCUUUCAGCUGUAAAACAAUGCCUUCUUAAUAUAUAUAUAGCCAUGGUCAUGCCUACUGAGUGAGGAAUUAAGGAACUUGUAAAGGAGUUUUAGUCAAAUAUCUUCAUGGCUUUGGUCAUCUGAACCAUUGUCUUACUUUACCAUUCAGUUCGUAGAGACUCCCACUUGCUUUGUCCUACCCGAGACACAACCUCUUGAAACACUACUCCAGGCCCCAGCAGGAGCAGUAGAGAGGCAGGAAUAGUCUGGAACUUGUGUUUAAAAACUCACUCUGCCUUCACUGUUGAAAGUAUUCUCCAUGUACUAACUCCUGUUCCUUUCUAACCACCCUAUAAUUGAUACAUUGUGAAUAGUCCCUUUUCGAAGAUGAGCAAACUGAGGUGAAAGCCUAAGUUUUCCACUCCUAUAAAUAUGUCAAACUGAGAAACCGUCUAGACUCAAAGCAGCUUUUAGAAGUGCAUUUAUCCUUAGAGCCCACCUUCACUAAUGAUGAUUACGUAGUGGUCUGGAUACUGAAAAAUUGUAUUAUAAAGAAAUCUUUUUUUUUUUAAUCCCCUUGCUCAGUUACCUAAGAAAAGGUGUCGUGUGCAGAGCCCAAAGGCCUGUGCUUGGCCUUCUCCACCAGCCAGCAACACAUCAGCAAGCACAGACACUGUCUAAGCGGCAUCAUUCAGGAACCAGUUCCAGGUGUUUGGUUCUGCUUUGGGGGGGGCGAGGGGGAAGCUGGGAACUUUGACAAAGGGAGGAGCUAUUCCCCCGGUUGCCGAUGUGAUAACCCCAGCUUCUAAGAGCAACGACUGUUCCUUUCUAACGUCACACGAUUUCUAUUUAGCAGCUACAUGACUGGCAAAGUGUUAUAUAAUCAUCUUCUAAGUACUUGUUUCAAUUUUGCCGCAACGAAGGUAAAAAUGCGGCCCUCAAAUUUUGAAACUCUAACCUGGGUGUGUUGUACGAUUCAUCUGACAACAGGAACCUACUAUGUGCAGACACAGAGCGUGCAAUAGUGAGCAAAAAGCAGCAGGGGCUGUGCUUGCAGAGCUCACGCAAGGGCCACAACAAUAAGAACGACGUUUGCUAAUUACUGGGGGCAAAGCGUUAUGAACAUCGCUGCAUUACUUACUGCUCUGUCCUCUUCUGAAAAGAUGUAUUUCAUUUUAAUGACAGAAAAUCCUUUGGAGCAAAUGUCACAAGGUAAAAGUCCAACUGGCUGUAAGUGUGCAUGAGGCUCCGAAGAGUGAAAGAAACAGUGAACUAGAACAUGAGGGAGUAUUCGGUGGUAUUUAAGCUUAUUUGCAACCUGCUCAGAAGUCACUAUGUCUCAAUAUUCAGAUGCAACUAGGCAGACAUUUGCUUUUCUCUUUUGACCAUUGUUGCUUUGGGGUAUAGAAGUAUAUUUAGAGGGAACCGAAGCUCAGAGAAGUUCUGUGAGUUGCCGGGGUCCCCAGCUAGUAAUUCAGAGAGCUAGGGUUCUAAUUUAGAAUUUUUUUUUGACAGGUAAACAGUAUUUUUUUUCUCUGUCAUGGCUGUUUCUAAUUAUUUUAUCUUCCUUCCCAUAAAAGUUACAAGGGCAUCUUCCCAUUUGGUUUCUGUGUAGAAUAACUAAGAGGGAAUUCGCAAUCAUAUUUCUAACUACGAAAACAUGUUAUCCAUAUUAUUUGUAGGCAUAUAUAAACAUGGAAGUGAAAAUGCAAGAGAAAGUAACUCACAGCACAGCUAAAACAUAAUCUCCGUUAACAUUUUGUUGUAUCUCUUGCCCAUGUGCCUUUUCUUCCAUAUACCUACAUGUGGAUGUACAGAUGUAGAGUGUGUUAUUUUUGCGUCGUUUAAACUACUCUGCAGUGAGCACGAGUUACUUUUUUAUAAGAAAAAACAUGUUUGAAGCAGUAAUUCGAAUCCUUUGGAAUAUCUUCAAAAUUAUUAAAGAACUUAUAUAAUGUCACUAUUUAAACACCAAAUAGGUUAUACACAGUUUGGUCACUUGUGAGCGUGUGUGUUUGCGUGGUAUGUUUUAUUCGAUCAACAAUAUACCGUAAAUGUCUUCCCAUAUCAUCGAAUAUUGUUGUAUAUAAUUUUAAAGGAUUGAGCACUAUUCAAUUGUACUAAUGCCCCAUGAUUUACUAGCUAAUUCUUCAUUUUAGACAGUUAGGACGUAUUCAGUUUUUUUAUUCUCACGAAUGACCCCAUAAGGUCGAGAUGAACAGUUUGUAUAGCUAAAUCUUUGGACACAUUCAUAAUUAUUUCCUGAGAUUAAAUUCCAAAAGGUAGAAUUUCAUAGCAAAAAGGGUAGGCAAGCCUCUCAAAAUCUAAAAACACAUAUGUUCACACCACCUUUGGAAAAACUGCAUCAUCGUACAUCCUACCAGAUGCAUGCACAGCUCCAUUUUCCUCACUAAUAUGAAGUAUUCUUUCUUCUCAUCUCUGACAAUGGUGGGCAAAAAAAGCUAAUUAUUUUAAAUCCACGUUCGUUGAUGAAUAAGGAAGUUGAAAUUGUAAUGUGUCUAUUGGUCAUUUGCAUUCUCCCUUUGUUAGUUUUAUGUCUCUAGAGUGAUCUUUUCUGAAAACUUUGCAGAACGAUUUUCAAUAUAAAAUUUUCCAUGUUGUACAUUUUGUAUUAAAUCAAUACUCAAACUCAUGUUACCAACGCAGCUCAAUAUGGAAAGUAAUGGCUUGAAGAUAGAUUUUGUAAGGAGCAUAGAUAGUGGAAGGUGAAUCCUUUGGGGCUGGGCAUACCACCUUUGCUGAGAUUGGAUUCUCCACUGGGUCUAAUGUAGAGUGCAGAAAAAUUCAGAUGUACGAUGAGAUGAGGUUAGCUGACUGAUCAUCCUCAUGGAGAUGAUUUGGGCACAAUAAACUCCAGUGAGAUGAUCCUAGGUAGAAAAUAUUAAUUAUUACGUUUGACUGGUAAACCUACCUUUCUCAGGAAAAGUUAAAUUCACAUACAUACAUACAUACACACAUACAUAACGAACACGUCCUAGGUUAUGAGUGUACACUGAUGCAGGCAGGUCUAAGAUUUCACAUCUAAGGUUUCUUUGCACACCCAGAACAACGAAGGUGAAGUUUGCAACAUUUUGGAGUAACGAAGAGUGGUGAAGCAAAUCUCAACGUAGGACUUCAGACUUUGACAGAACUGAGUCCAGGUGACUUGGAAAAAGACACACGUCGCUUCAAUCAUAAAACAGGCAAUAAAGUUUCUGAAUAAAACGUACACUUCCUAAAUACAUCACGUUGUGGUUACAUCGCAUAAAUUGGGUGACGGGGUUUGAGCUAUUUGUUAUUUUUUAGCUUUCAUGGUUUAACAAACACAAGUGUCAUUUAGUCCUUGAAAUGAAAAUGCACACACAGCAACUCCCCACACUGUCUUUGAUGAGGAAUCUGGCCUUCUAGUUCAUUUAACAUGAAAUAACAGAUUUGUGUUGAUGGUGCUUUUGUUCUUGAUAGUGAGAGAACUUGUUACUGAAAAAUUAGCUACUCACCCUCAAGCAAUCACUAAUAUUCCAAUUCCUGAAUAGAGAAGGGGGGAAGAGAGCAGAUGGAAGCAAACAAAAAUUGUAUUAAUAAUACAUAACAGAGUGCUGCUAUAAAUGAUAUUUCAGUGGAGGAAAACAAUAGAAAAACUGCCGUUUUCAUUGGAUCUUAAUGUAUUUAUCAGUCUCUAAUGCUCCUAUCUUCAAGCAGUUCCCUUUUAUUGACACGGCAACACAAAUUGCAGAAGUAAAUUGAAUCACAGACUCAGAAUGUAAAAAUCAAUGAGAAAUAAUUUUGUAGCACUAAAGUGAAUAGUGUAAUGCUAGGUAUUCAUUUAAUUAACCAUGAGCCUUUCCACAUAAUGCACAAUCAUUGCCAGCUUUUCAGCUCAUAGUUGUUCCAGGAAUAAUGGGUUUGGGAUUCAUCUUUAGAAAACCUGCAUUAAUAUUUGAAAGCGUUUAAAUCCAUUAGUGGGUCAUCUGAACACUGCAGGUCACUUUUACAUUGCUAAUUGAAACAAUAGUAAUGGGUUAUAAUCUACUGUCUAAUAAUGCCUGGAGUGUUUUACCGCUUUUAUAUCUGCAGAUUCCAGGAAAUAUGUAAAUUUGUUGCUGAACUGAUAUAAAAAUAUGGAAAUUUAAGCUGCAGACAUCAAAGUAUUUUUUUCUAAAAAAAAAAAAAACACAGCAUUUAAUAAACUGAAGAGUUACACUACAUUCUGGUGUCAGGAUAAAUUCCUUACUCUAGACCUUCCCCUGUUCUCUCUUCUCCGCUCUGGGCGCAGCAUCUGGCACUCACAUUUUCCACGUUGCCAUUAGGAGAAAGUGAAUAUCAUUAAACCAGUGAGUAAACAAUCAUGUCAUUGUUUCCAUAUGCAAGCUAUACAUUGACUCAGCCCGCUGGGUCCUGGCUGCUUUUUUAUUUGCCCUACAUGAAUUUAUGCAAGCAUUUUCUUUUUCAUGGGGAUUUUUAAUACAUACCAACAUUUUCUUGGAUGGGGGCAGUACAUGUGGCAGGAACUCUAGCAUAUGAAAUGAGAAGAUGAUUUCAGUGUGAAAACAUACAUGCGUGUAAACACAUACAUACAUAUCAAAGGAAAUAUGUGAGAAAGACAGAGUCGCUUUCGGAAUCCUCCUUGUAAAUUGAAUGUCUACAAAUUGAUACUUAACCAGCAUUUUCUCUUUUAAUUAAACAUGCAUCUCAUGCACUUACCUGUAUCUUCCUAUGCUUAAUUAUAGUCUGAUUGUGCAGAAAAUCCAGAAAGAUGCAUCUCAUUAUAAUAAAGAAAAUGCUUUAGCCUAGGUGGAGAUUGUGGCUGCAUGCGUACUCAUUUUAUAUAAAUGGAAUAUGUUUUUGGAAACACUUUAUACCAAGGCUCAAAGAGAAAAAGGGCUUAAAUCCAUUCACUCCACCAUCAUCGACAUGAUCGCAGGAGUAAAUCAGGUGGGGAGAGAGAAGAGGACUCAAAGACACGUGUGGGUCGCACUGACUUUGAUGCUCUAUCAAGAAAAGCAACAUUUGAGUUUCUGGUUUUCGUUAUCUUUGCAAAUGUAUUUACAUCUAAGGAAGAUGCUAGAAGUCGGAAUCAAAAUUCUGAUUUCAUCCACAGAACACUGGUGAGAGAGCUUUCAAGCAAGGAAAUAGAAUUGCAUAUAGAGACUAGCACAGCUCAUGUAUUAAUUGUGUGGUAUGUAGAAUUCAAAUGAAACAUUUUAAUGACUUUAAUGAGGAUUGUGGAUAAGAAAGGGACUAAACAUCCCUUGGUUCUUGAAAUGGAAAGACAAAUCAGUUUGAGAUAUGCAUAAGGAAAUUGCAACAAGGAAACUUGACCUUGUGAAGUCCUCUCUUAAAUAUUCCCGCCAUGUUUCCUGUCUUUCUCCAUGCCCUAUUAAGCUCCCUUUGAAGUCAGUAUCACUGUACUUGCAUCAGUCGUACAGGGCGUGGAGAAAGACGAAACAAUGACCCGAGAAAGCAAGUAGUUUCUUUAUCAAAGAAGGACAAGUACCAUUAGCCUAUAGUGCAAUAAAUAGCCUCCUCAAAGAUAUUUUUCACUUUCUGUCCGCUGAGGGGAUGGACAAAGGGAUCAUGACUUGAUUCCCCACAAGGAGAGCCCUGUUGUGAUUAAAUAGGAUGACAAAUUGGGCUUUGUGUUCCAGUUAUAGCUUCCAUGAGUUUUAUUGUGGCUACAAUAGGGACAGGUACUUAAGAGUUAAGAGAAAAUCCCACAAUAAUAUCACAUAUCUAGUCAACCGAGAAAUCCUACGUGAAGGUCAGAAAUCCCUUUGCAACCCUGGGAGUUUCUACAGCUUUACCCUUCUUGUCUAGCUGUGUCAUGAUAAGCAUACGGAAGCCCAAGAAACCAACUUUUUGCCUUUUGCCUUUAGGCAAAUAUUGGUAAAUUUUUAGCCACAGAUAGAAGAGCUUACUUGACCUUAAACAGGUGGAUCUUCUCAUUUCUCACUUGCCAUUUCUUAUCUUACUACAUAAUAUGCUUUGUUUUAAUUUUUAGGACUUUGGAUUUUAUUUGUUUCCGGAGUUGGGAACACAGCUGCCGGUCAUGAGUGAAUAUCUGCCCCGAUUUGUCGCCAAGAAGGGUAAGAUGAAAGUUAAUGGAAGCCCCACAAUUUCUGACUUCUGUAUCUGUGAUGAAAGCACCAUAUGCUGCCUCCGAGGUGUGCUUAUUUCUUUUCUUCGAAACCUGGUUUCAACUCCUGAAGAAGUUCAGCAUCACUGUUGACUUAGUGACAUGACACAAUCUAUUGUCACUAUAUGAUGAUUUCCAAAUUGGAUCCACGAUGUGAGUUUGAAUCACAGAAUUGAGGCAAAGUGGGAUGAAGAGAGAUGCGACUGUGGCAGUAACGGAAGUCAUGAUGUUUAUCUCUCCAGUACACUUAGCAACUUAUUUAACUUCAAAAUAUUUUUGCUUUAUGUCAGUUUUUUGCUUGUUUGUUUCUCUGGAUGUGAAUCAGAGAAGAUGCUGGGUGUGAGAGCUUCAGGGAUGGCUAAAGAAGGAUGCAAAUAAAACUUACUUCCAAAGAGAAUAGUAAAAAAUAAAAUAAAAUAAACACA